UACAGAGGCCUCGAGCGUUAGGCGGAAUCACUGGGCUUAAAGCGUGUGUAGGCGGACUUCUAAGUGCCUUGUGAAAUCCCACGGCUCACCCGUGGAACUGCUGGGCAUACUGGGAGUCUUGAGCCACCUAGGGGCGAGCGGAACAAAUGGUGGAGCGGUGAAAUGCGUAGAUAUCAUUUGGAACGCCAACGGAGAAAUCAGCUCGCUGGGGGCGUGCUGACGCUGAGACACGAAAGCCAGGGAGCGAACGGG
rnacentral:rRNA from 1 species